AGUGAACGCUGGCGGUAUGCCUAACACAUGCAAGUCGAACGGCAGCACAGUAAGAGUUUGCUCUUACCGGUGGCGAGUGGCGGACGGGUGAGGAGUACAUCGGAAUCUACUUUUUCGUGGGGGAUAACGUAGGGAAACUUACGCUAAUACAGCAUAUGACCUACGGGUGAAAGCAGUGGAUCUUUUCACCUUGCGCGAUUGAAUUAGCCGAUGUCGGAUUAGCUAGUUGGCGGGGUAAAGGCCCACCAAGGCGACGAUCCGUAGCUGGUCUGAGAGGAUGAUCGGCCACACUGGAACUGAGACACGGUCCAGACUCCUACGGGAGGCAGCAGUGGGGAAUAUUGGGCAAUGGGCGCAAGCCUGAUCCAGCCAUACCGCGUGGGUGAAGAAGGCCUUCGGGUUGUAAAGCCCUUUUGUUGGGAAAGAAAAGCAGCAGGUUAAUACCCCGCUGUUCUGACGGUACCCAAAGAAUAAGCACCGGCUAACUUCGUG
rnacentral:rRNA from 1 species